rnacentral:lncRNA from 1 species
AACCGAGACAGGACGAGGGGAGGAGGUAUCCUUGGAAAAGGAGACACUGAAUGAGCGUUGGGAGAGAUAGGAGGAAAACCAAGAGAGGACAGAGUCACAGAGACCGAGUGAUUGAAGAGUUUGAAGGAGGAGAGCAUGAUCAACGGUGUCAAAGGCAGCAGAGAGGUCAAGGAGAAUUAAUAUGGAGUAGUGACCUUUGGAUUUAGCGGAGAUUAGGUCAUUAGUCACUUUGAUAAGAGCAG